AAAUAUGUUACCAAUAGCAUCCUCUCUAACAGAUAACCCAGAGAGUCCCAACAAGUUUUUGAUGUACCUGCGAGCUAAUACGUCCUUCUCAGUGUAUAAAACCCUAGUAACUGAUGGGGCAGGAGUAUCAGAGAAAGUGGAUAGCUCAUCAAUCUGUUUUUGCAGACUUUGAGCGUCCACUGAAAGUGAAGAAGGGAAGAAGGUUUGAGAAGGUUCAUGAAUAGGAUAACCAGAGAAAUCCUCCAUGGUUUUGGUAGUUGGGUCCCCAUUAGUUUGAGCAAGAAUUGCAGAGAUUGAAAAGAGGAAGAGGAGAGGAAGAGAGUAGGAGUAAGAGAAUC
rnacentral:misc_RNA from 1 species